AAAAUAAUCCUACCCUUUGUGAGUUUUGUUUGUUUGAAUAAUUUUUUUUUUAAAAAAUUAUUGGAGUCUUUCCCUUUAGAGUUUGCUUUUGAGUUUGUAAAGAAUUCGAAAACAUCUAAAGGGGAUGGUCAAUAAUUUUUUUGAAAAAAGACAUUUUUUAAAAUUAAACUUUUGUAUUCAUUUGUCUAAAAAUUAUUUUUAUUAUAUAAAAACAACUUUUGACAAUGGAUCUCUUGGUUCUCGCAACGAUGAAGAACGCAGCAAAAUGCGAUAAGUAGUGUGAAUUGCAGAAUACGUGAAUCAUCGAAUCUUUGAACGCAUAUUGCACUUUUUUAGUUUACUAAAAAAGUAUGUCUGUUUGAGUAUCAGUAAAAUAUUCUCAUAAAAAUCAUUGGUAUUUUUAUGGUUAUGAGUGUUUUACAACGAUACAAGUUGUUUCACUUUAAAUUUUUUUUUAAUAUUGAAAUUUUUCUAAUUUUAAUAAUUAAAAUUGGAUAAAAUUUUCCCGUCAAAAGGAAUAACCUAAACAAUUUUAAACGAUUAAUUUUAGCAAAAUUUUCGUAAAAAAAGGAAAAUUUUUAUUAAAAUAACUUGAUCUCAAAUCAGAUAAGAGUACCCGCUGAACUUAAGCAUAUCAAUAAGCGGAGGAAAAGAAACUAACAAGGAUUCCCUUAGUAACGGCGAGUGAAGCGGGAAGAGCUCAAAUUUGAAAUCUUCAAGGUUUUACCUUGACGAAUUGUAGUUUAAAGAAGUGUUUUCUGCUGAAGUUUUGGUAAAAGUUCUUUGGAAUAGGACAUCAUAGAGGGUGAGAAUCCCGUAUUUGACCAUUAUUUUCAGCUUUGUGAUACACUUUCAAAGAGUCGGAUUGUUUGGGAAUGCAGUCCAAAAUGGGUGGUAAAUUUCAUCUAAAGCUAAAUAUUGGCGAGAGACCGAUAGCGAACAAGUACCGUGAGGAAAGAUGAAAAGAACUUUGAAAAGAGAGUUAAACAGUACGUGAAAUUGUCAAAAGGGAAGCGUUUGACACCAGUGUUGUUCUCUCGAAAAUCAAUUAAAAAUGGCUCGAUUUUGUAUUGCUGAGACCUAAAAGCUCACUGUACAUUUUUCGUGUCUUUUUUAAUGCACUUUUCGUUUAACAAGUCAACAUCAGUUUCUUUGUUGUAAAAGGGUCAUUGGAAGGUGGCUUUCUUUUCGGAGAAAGUGUUUAUAGCCUUUGGCCUCUGCAAUCGGAGAGACUGAGGUCUGCAGCGUAGACUCUUCGGGUUAGAUACAUUUGUGCUAAGUUAUAGCUUUUUAUAGACAACUUGUUGACUAUAAUUAGUCUUGUAGCUUACUCGCUUAUGCUAUUU
rnacentral:misc_RNA from 1 species